GCCCGGGUGGUGGAAUUUGGUCAGACACGGUCGCCUUAAGAGCGACUGCCCUUCGUGGCGUGAGGGUUCGAGUCCCUCCCCGGGUA
rnacentral:tRNA from 1 species